GGGAGGGGAAGGGGAAAUGAAAGCCUAUUUAAAACGAGCCUGUGACUAUUAUGCACAUUACCAGAGGCGGACCCAAUAAUCAGAAAGGGUGAAGUGUGAUAUUUACCAUUGGUACAGACAAGCGAUGAAUCUGAAUGGUAACUAUUGACUGUACAGGUUGGAGGGGGAGGGGGGCGGGCUGGGGUAUCUGUGUCCACUACUCCCAUGGAUCUGCCUAUGCACAUUACCCUGUUUCAUUAUUUCUCAUGUCGUUUUUGUUAACCCCUCCCCCCCCUCCAAAAAAAAAAAAAAAAGGAAAAAAAAAGAAAAAAAAAAGGACAAAACAGAAAAAGUUAAAAAAAAAAAAAAAAAAAGAACAUAUCAAACAUGCAAAUACUUGAAUCCAGCAGGCCAAUAACAAAAUGUGAACACUUGCUAUGUCUGAUGAUUACACUUCCAGGUUGGCAUCAGUACACCGAGACAGCAAACAGGCUCUAAGGAUUUGUUUGUAAAGGUUCGGAUGUUCUGCUUUCGUUUGAGCGGGUGUGAGUGUGUGUGUGUGAGUGUGUGUGUGUAUGUGAGUGUGAGUGUGUGUAUGUGAGCGUGAGAGAGCGUGUGAGUGUAUACGUGUGUGUAUGAGUGUGUGACAGUGUGAGUGUGCAUGUGACUGAGUGUAUGUGUGUGAGCUGAGUGAGUGUGAGUGACUGUGUAUGUAUAUGUGAGUGUGUGUGAGUGUGACUGUGUAUGUAUAUGUGAGUGUGGCCGUGUAUGUGCGUGUGCCCACGCGUGGUUUAACAGAAGCGUGUAGUGUUCUCCUUCUAUCCAGUAUCAGCUUUUGAUUUGCUCAUUGGUCAGAUGUUUAAUUGCUAUUAGCUUCUAACUUUGCACUGAGUGUCCGCAGCCCUUCUGGUAGCUCAUCCUACAAUGUAAAGGAAAAAACAAGGAAGGAACUGAUAGAAGGGGCCGGCGACAAUUCACGUGUAAAUGUUUACUCAAGGACUCUUAGCGCAUUCUAGAAGUGACAGUGUGCGUCUCUGGGGAAUCACACCUGCAUCUCCCUUGGGCGGCUUUGUGUCGUGGAAUGCAAGGAAAGGAUUCCCGGAGCGUCGCACCGUUGGUCCAUUUGGGAUAUAAAGCUGAAGAAGAAACUCCUCUCGUUGAACUGUGGCCAUAGAGAACUGUAAAGAGCGGAUGGUUCCCUUGCAAGCAGGAACAGAAACAAGCACUUGGACGUGGGGUUUGACUGCUUUUGGCAGAGCCGGGCGUUCGGCUCUCACCUGUUUACAGACCUUUUUUUUUGUUUUUGGUUUUUUUUUUUUUUUUCCUCCUUCAAACUUUAAAAUAAUAAAAAAAAAUUUAAAAAAAAAAAAAAACAAAACAAAAAGAGAGAGACUUCCAUCGUAAAGAAAACUUAUUUUCAGAAUGAAGAUAUGCUACUUCAGAGCUCUGGGAUUGAACAGUGUUGUUGUAUGAUUCUUUUCUUUGGCCAUUGCUGUGUACUGUUCUCGUUGUUGUUUUCCUCCUCCCGUCGGCGCGGCGAGGCGUUGUGGUCACUCUUGCACAUGGUGGAAGAUGUCUCAGGAAAGCCGGGUUUCCCGAGGAGCAACUCCACACCAUUUCAUGUAUUUUUAAAACCCAACUCCUAGCACUGAAGAUAUUAUUAAAAAAUAAUUAAAAAAAAAUAAUAAAAAAAUUAAAAAGACAGUUAAGAAAGAAGAAAAUACCUAAUCUAAUGUGUAGCAGUUACAUAUUUACCAAAUAAUGGACUCAAAAAGAAAUAGAUGUUUGAAGAGUGCUUUAUAUAUUAAAAGAAAAAAACAAACAAACAAACAAAAAAAAAAGAAUUGCUUUAUGUUUAACAGAAAAAAAAAGAAAAAAAAAAAAACAAAAACAGAUCAAUGCUUUUGAUUGUUUUGAAAGGAAGAAAGACAAUGGGACGGCAUACGCCUGGGGUAUGUCCUGAGAGGUUAUGGACAUUGUGCUCCCUGCCUGCUUGGAUCAGGAAACUUGUGCAUUACAUUUGAUUUCCUUUCUUCUCCGUUGUUGUCGUUGUCGUUGUUGUUGUUGUUGCUUUUUCUUUGGAAGAUGAGCUUUUUAAUGGUUUUAUCCGAUGUAAAAGGGGUCCUGCAAGAUUGCAAAUUAACAAAAGCUGGUUUUAUAGCGGAUCAUGAACUAUGCACAAAACUGGGUUCGAGACUUGUUCUUUCGUUCUCGAGGUUCCGUAGUGUAUUUAGCUCCAUUACCUUUCCUCAGAGUAAUUGCAUCUCGCUGCCACCGCGCGCCCACUGCACACAUAGAUAUUUUAUAUCUCUCUCCACACACUCUCAUAUAAGAUAUGUAUGUGUGUCUGUGCGGGCUGACAUACGGUUUUCCAUGCUGAACUUUAGCAUUGAGUUGUAGAACUCGUGGUCUUUUGAAACGGGGAAGGAACAUUUCUGUUACUGGGGG
ensembl:lncRNA